CCUCCCCCUCCAGCUCCGGCCGCCGCCGCCGCCGCCUCCUUCUUGCAUGACACAGCAGAACCGCAGCUGCUGCAGCAAUUCCAAGCCAUCCGCCCAGGAAGCACCGCAACCGGGACUCGGGAGGGGCGGAGGGGGCGAGGCAGGGGCCACGGCCCCGGGGGAUCCUCGGCCCCACUGUGCACCACACACUCCUUUCCCAGCCCAGGGGCACGCGAUCAAAAUGAGGCUCAAGCUGACCAGGCCGAGCCGGAGGAACGCUGGGGCUUGGCAGCAGAAGGGAUGGGACCAGAGAGGAGGGUGUGGAGGAGACCCCAGUGAGGGCCAGGACAUUUCAGAUAAAGAGAGGUCAUAUCUCCGUACCUCACUUCCUGACACAAACAAGUUUUCACUGUUGUCAGCAACAAAGCCCUAAUAUAGCUGCGGAAGAGAAAAACUGCAUUGCAUUUUGCCUCCUGCAAGCAUCGUCAACAGUUACUGGAGGAAUGUAAUUCCAGAAAGCUUGAAAGCCGUGGUGAUGGUAAUUAUGUAUCAAAUGCCUGGUUCUAUUUCUGUUAUUAUUGUUUUGUCAUUUCUGUUCUCCCAGCGAUCUGACUGAACUCGCAGAGGGGCAAAUCCGGUUUUUCUUUUUUGACUUUUGUCAAACUGAAUCAGGCCUGAUAGAAAAACUCAUUGCUCUCCGGGGAAACAAAGUAGGAGCCACGAAAUGUCAUUUUAACAGAGCGUGGGUUUGCUGACUGUAGGAAAGGAUUUGAGGACGCUCCUUCUGUUCGGCUUCCUAUGUCAUGAGCACAGGCUCCACGCACGCACAGACACCACGGCUCCCGGAUGCUGUGGCUCCGCGAUCUGGGCUCCUGCAGCGCCAGAAGCCCCUCCGGGAUGCUGCGAGGGGCUCCCGGUGGGUGGAGGUACGGACGCCGUUGCGUCCGCCGCCGCCGCCAGUCCUGCUGCUGUUGUUGCUGCUGCAGUCACGUGGGAGCCCCUUUAAGUUUCCAUAGAGAGGCCUCUCCGGUGUCACAUGAUGGACAUGAUAUAAUGAAACAACAUUGUGGAGAGGAAAGCAUUAGGGGAGCCCACGGCUACAAAAACAAGUGAGUGAGAAGAGGUGGGAGGAAGAGAAACUACGCCACCUCCCCUGCAGCCGAGCGCACGCAACAGCCUGGCGUGACAAGUGGGCGAUGCCGGGGGAGGGGGCAGGGAGCCGGGGUCCUCGACCCUGGCCGGGGACCUCACCGCCCACCGCCCACCGCGCGAACAACUUUUAGCCCACAGCCCCGGUCGGCGCGGCACCUGUCUGCGGAGUCUCCACCGCUCCUCCAGAUCAUCCCAGGGAAAUUCUCGAAGAAUACGCUCUACAAAUCUACGUGCGCAUCGUUUUCCCCUCGCAUCGCCCCCGGGAGGAAGGAACCAGGCAAAGAGCUAAGCAGCGUGCCUUUAGCCCUGGGGCAUUUUAUUAAUGCUUUUACGAGUUAGAAGAGUUGAGAUAAGGUGCCAUCUGGAGUUUCUCUGCCUUGCUGAUCUGAGCUCAGACCUGCCAGUUUAUGAGAGAUGAUUGAUAACACCCCAUAACAGCUGAGAGGAACAUGGAAGAAACAGAGAUACUUUUAGUGGAACGGAAUAAACCACUGAACAGGACGAGUCCAGCCUGCGCUUGGGGAUCCUUCGUACGACCGUUCAGUGGUGAGUAGGUAUGACAGCAUUUUCUGAUUUCACUAUUUCUUGCUUCUAAAUGCCUACAUGGUGCUUCGUCUAGGGCAAUGCUUUGAAGAGCAUUUCCCCCAGUACGUUUCUAAUGCAUUGCAUAUUUACCUAUAGAAAAUACUGUGGAUGUGCUAAUGAUUCUAAAAGACAACACAGACAACAACGAAAGUUAAGAAUUAAGAUGUAUACUCAUAGAUGUCUGCAGCAUACUGACAUAAAGGCAGUUUUGGUUUUGACGUACGUACACUAAAAUGGUCUUUGUAAUGCUAUUUAAACACAAGUGUACAAGGUACCAGUAUAUUCUGGAAAAAAAUCAUAUAAUUACCAACAGUUAAUGAAAGGCAUGUGCUUUGAGCUACUAACAAAAUGUAGAGAAACUUGUGAUUCAUGAUGUUUUGGUUUUCAACCAAUGUUAUCAAAUAAGCUAAAAGUAUCAGAAGAGGACAAAGAAAGUACGUUGCAAGUGGAUGAAAGCAGAAACUGAGAAAAGAUAGCUUUGAUGUUUAAAGUGUUAGAUUAUGGCCUCUGUAUAAUGUCAUCUAUGCCGGACUUCCCCCAUCACACCCUCAAAUUAUGAUCUUAAUUAUUCAAGAGAUGUUUGGCGUGUUGGUGGUAUAGUGGUGAGCAUAGCUGCCUUCCAGAAGAUGCUGGGUGUAUAAUUACUAUUGAAUUUCUCAUUCCCUUGGGAGGUAGCUUAGUAAAAGGCUGAGUCAGGCAUGCUGGUGCUGUUUAUUCAGUGUGCUGUCCUGUGUCCGAAUGCCCGAGAGUUAGUGUUGUUAACCUCUCCAGGGUGCUAGACCCCUUUCAGAUUCUGAUGGAAGCCAUGAACCCUUUUCCCACGCCUGUAUGCAAACAUUCGCCUGCCCUUUUACAGACCCAGAGGCACAUAUCCAUGUACCCACCAUUAAGAACGCUGCCCUGGACUGACCCCUCAUGACGACUCUACUGUUCUUAAGCUUCCCAGGAAACACUGUUAUUAAGAAGGAGGAGGCAUCCAGGUCAAAAAGAAGUCAUUGUGGUUGCUAGGUGGGGGUGCAGAGCCAAAGACAAAGGGUGGAGAAAAUACAUGACUAAUACUAAAUAAAUAAAGAGCAUGGUUAAUACCAGAGCCUGCAGACAGAUGGCCCAGGGUCCCUCAACAUGAACCGUGUGUAUCUGUAAAGUACGUUGUGAAUUCAGGUAGAGAGCUGAAGACUCAACAUGAAGGAGUUGGGAAGAGUUUUCAUACAUAUAUUUGUCUAUGGCUUUCGUACAAUAUAAAACUGUGAGAUCUCUUUUCAUUUUUCCAUUGUGUAUGCUACCACAUUAGGUGGGACUCAGAAUCGUCUCAGCUCCAGAAAUAUAAUUCAUAACCAUUAUAACAAAGCAGAAAAAUGAUUCUACAGUAGGAGGAGAAAUUUGGUGGGGAUAGAUGUAAGAUAGCAUGGUUACGUACAAAAGAAACAUCAUUUUUAAAAAAUGCAGCCUUUAUCACUAGCUAAAUUUAAGUCAAUGCUGUAAGGCUGUUGUGGGAAAAACAGUCAUGAUCCUUGGGUAUAUGAAAAGCAGUAUGACAUAGAGGGGUAAGAAAACAGGACUUAGUGUUCGUCAGACUCAUCACGGCGUUCUGUUUGAGUCACACUUGAAAAAUGAUUUGGGGCAAUUGUGAAAAGCUGAUACACAAGCAACAGAAAUCACAUGCCCUUCCAGGAAAACAUAAAGUUAACUGAGGGUUUUAUUCCACAGUGAUCAGAGGCCGGAGGAUUUCUUGCUAAUGACCUUUAGGUAGUAACAGUCUGGUUUGUACGUAUAUUCCGGGGCCUCGAACACUGCCUGGUGUUCAGUACUUGAAAUGAUUGUUGUGUUUAGUGAUGCGAAUACACUCCUGUGAUAGACUUCGCAGGAGUAAGUAGGUUCAAAUAAAACCAGAGGUAGUGUCAUGACAGACAGUAUAUAAUACAUAAAUUUGCUGGGUGAUUAAAGGUAAGGAAGACUGUCUCACUUGUGAGGAUGAUAUAAUACUUUGGAAGCUACCAAAUCUUGGUUUGAUACCCCUUUCAAGAUGAGAGCAGGAUAAGUCUGCUGGGGCGGUAGAAACAUUUGUUCAUUCUACAAACCCUGAGGGCCUACCUGCCUGGGUACUCACAGUCUGGUAGAGGAGACAAAGAUACAGAAACAGAAUCACAGCAUGUGAUGAGUGCCAUGGGAGCAUGACAACAGCAUGCUCAGGGCUUGGGACACUUAGCCGCCACCCCAUCCUGCUUCUGAUGGAGGGGAGGUCACAAUGGACCCCGAGGGUUAGGCCUGGCAGAGUUAGCUGGAUGGGAGGCAGGUGGGACAGCCUGUCCAGAGGCGCAGACCUGUGUGUGUGUGAGGAAGGGGUGAUGGGAGACUUGGCAGUCACUGUGAACACGGGUCUGAGUGCCACACCUUGCUUGCCUGAAGGUUUCUACCCAGGAGCCUUGACAGUCAGAUGUGUGCUUCAGAAAGGCCAGAUGGACUGUAGUGACGAGAGUGGUUUGGAAGGGGAGGAGUGGGGGACAGGCCAUCGAGGCAAGGAGGCCAACUGGAAAGCUUCGGUCAGGACGCACGUGGUGAUGGAUUGGGGGUAGAAAUGGGGAGGAUGAUGCAGGCAGUGUGGCUGGGGUUAUCACGUAUCAUUCACCACAAAAUGCAGUCCAAGAGGAAGCCCAGGUUUGAGGGAGACAGGUGGGGACCAGCUGUGAGGGGGAGAGGUGACAUUCAAACACGUCAGUACACAGAGACAGGGUCAGUGGAAGACACAGAGCCAACGGGAAGUUGGCUGAUGAGGAUAAGGACUUGAGUGACGACCUGUCUCCAAAGCAGGAGAUGCUAUUCCAAUUUUUCAUAGGGUGGUUUUCCUUUUACUCUGACCCAUUUGUAAUAAAACCCCUUUUAUUUGUUUAUUUUUCUAUUAUGUAUAUUUAAGGUGUCAACAUGCUGGUUUGAGGUACAUGUACAUAGCAAAAUAAUAACUUACAUUCCAGCUAUGAAUGUACCAUCUCACAGUUACUUUUUUGUGUAUGUGUGUUAAGCCCACCUAAAAUGUAUUCAGAAAUAUUUAGGAUUGGGCGUGAUGGCUCAUGCCUGUAAUCGCAGCACUUUGGGAAGCUGAGGUGGGCGGAUC